rnacentral:rRNA from 1 species
GAUGAACGCUGGCGGUGUGCCUAAUACAUGCAAGUCGAGCGAACAGACGAGGAGCUUGCUCCUCUGACGUUAGCGGCGGACGGGUGAGUAACACGUGGAUAACCUACCUAUAAGACUGGGAUAACUUCGGGAAACCGGAGCUAAUACCGGAUAAUAUAUUGAACCGCAUGGUUCAAUAGUGAAAGACGGUUUUGCUGUCACUUAUAGAUGGAUCCGCGCCGCAUUAGCUAGUUGGUAAGGUAACGGCUUACCAAGGCAACGAUGCGUAGCCGACCUGAGAGGGUGAUCGGCCACACUGGAACUGGGACACGGUCCAGACUCCUACGGGAGGCAGCAGUAGGGAAUCUUCCGCAUUGGGCGAAAGCCUGACGGAGCAACGCCGCGUGAGUGAUGAAGGUCUUCGGAUCGUAAAACUCUGUUAUUAGGGAAGAACAAAUGUGUAAGUAACUAUGCACGUCUUGACGGUACCUAAUCAGAAAGCCACGGCUAACUACGUG